GACGAACGCUGGCGGCGUGCUUAACACAUGCAAGUCGAACGGAAAGGCCCUGCUUGCAGGGUACUCGAGUGGCGAACGGGUGAGUAACACGUGGGUGAUCUGCCCUGCACUUCGGGAUAAGCCUGGGAAACUGGGUCUAAUACCGGAUAGGAGCCAUUUUUAGUGUGAUGGUUGGAAAGUUUUUUCGGUGUAGGAUGAGCUCGCGGCCUAUCAGCUUGUUGGUGGGGUAAUGGCCUACCAAGGCGGCGACGGGUAGCCGGCCUGAGAGGGUGGACGGCCACAUUGGGACUGAGGGACGGCCCAGACUCCUACGGGAGGCAGCAGUGGGGAAUAUUGCACAAUGGGCGCAAGCCUGAUGCAGCGACGCCGCGUGGGGGAUGACGGCCUUCGGGUUGUAAACUCCUUUCGCUAGGGACGAAGCUUUUUGUGACGGUACCUAGAGAAGAAGCACCGGCUAACUACGUG
rnacentral:rRNA from 1 species